GAUGAACGCUGGCGGCGUGCCUAAUACAUGCAAGUCGAACGAAGAUCUAGCUUGCUAGAUCUUAGUGGCGAACGGGUGAGUAAUACAUAAAUAAUCUGCCCAUAUGACUGGGAUAACUAUUGGAAACGAUAGCUAAUACCGGAUAGGUUGAUCGGAGGCAUCUCUGAUGAAUUAAAGUAGGAUUUCUACACAAAUGGGUGAGUUUAUGGCGCAUUAGUUAGUUGGUGGGGUAACGGCCUACCAAGACGAUGAUGCGUAGCCGACCUGAGAGGGUGACCGGCCACACUGGGACUGAGACACGGCCCAGACUCCUACGGGAGGCAGCAGUAGGGAAUUUUCGGCAAUGGGCGCAAGCCUGACCGAGCAACGCCGCGUGAGUGAUUAAGGCCUUCGGGUUGUAAAGCUCUGUCGUAAGGGAAGAACAUUCAGGAUAGGAAAUGAUCUUGAACUGACGGUACCUUACCAGAAAGCCACGGCUAACUACGUGCCAGCAGCCGCGGUAA
rnacentral:rRNA from 1 species